ensembl:lncRNA
UUGGAACCCUGUUCCUGGUGUGCUCUGCACUACACAGGGUGUGGUUUGGAACCCUGUUCCUGGUGUAGUGCACUACACAGGGUGUGGUUUGGAACCCUGUUCCUGGUGUAGUGCACUACACAGGGUGUGGUUUGGAACCCUGUUCCCGAUGUGGUGCACUACACAGGGUGUGGUUUGGAACCCUGUUCCCGGUGUAGUGCACUACACAGGGUGUGGUUUGGAACCCUGUUCCCGGUGUAGUGCUCUACACUACACAGGGUGUGGUUUGGAACCCUGUUCCCGGUGUAGUGCUCUACACUACACAGGGUGUGGGUUGGAACCCUGUUCCCGGUGUAGUGCUCUACACUACACAGGGUGUGGGUUGGAACCCUGUUCCCGGUGUAGUGCUCUACACUACACAGGGUGUGGGUUGGAACCCUGUUCCCGGUGUAGUGCUCUACACUACACAGGGUGUGGUUUGGAACCCUGUUCCCGGUGUAGUGCUCUACACUACACAGGGUGUGGUUUGGAACCCUGUUCCCGGUGUAGUGCUCUACACUACACAGGGUGUGGUUUGGAACCCUGUUCCCGGUGUAGUGCUCUACACUACACAGGGUGUGGUUUGGAACCCUGUUCCCGGUGUAGUGCUCUACACUACACAGGGUGUGGUUUGGAACCCUGUUCCCGGUGUAGUGCUCUACACUACACAGGGUGUGGUUUGGAACCCUGUUCCCGGUGUAGUGCUCUACACUACACAGCCUCUGUUUAUUUAAGUGGUACUUCUGUUCUGUUGGACAACAGGCUGUAUUUUGAUGUGUGUUUUGGCUGUUGUGUGUUUCUUCCAUUGGGAGGUGCAGUUUGAGACGUCUGCCUGUCGAACAGGGGUUCGACCUUCCUCUGUGGAAGCUGGUAUGGGUGCAGGCUUUAGCUCCCGCCCUGCAGUAAAACCUGUUUCAACUAAUCAUUUUUUAACGUUGAUUUAAUUAUAGUUAAGUCAAAUUCUAGUUAUCAAUAAAGAACAGCUGAUUCAACUGAUCCAAUUAGUCUUGGUCAUCAAUAAAGACUUUAUUAGUGGAGUCUGAUGUGUUACACCCACCGUGGUUCUGACAGGUUCUGACCCCUGGAGCAGAGAACAGACACCCACCGUGGCCCUGACAGGUUCUGACCCCUGGAACAGAGAACAGAGACACCCACCGUGGCCCUGACAGGUUCUGACCCCUGGAGCAGAGAACAGAGACCCACCGUGGCCCUGACAGGUUCUGACCCCUGGACCAGAGAACAGACAGGUUCUGACCCCUGGACCAGAGAACAGACACCCACCGUGGCCCUGACAGGUUCUGACCCCUGGAGCAGAGAACAGACACCCACCGUGGCCCUGACAGGUUCUGACCCCUGGACCAGAGAACAGACACCCCCAGUGAAAGCAGCAUCUAUGUGGGGGAAGUGAUCAGAACCCUGGUCAGGAUAGUGAACGGUGGACCAGUCAAUCUUCAUUUCAUUUGCAUCUCCAUAUACCUUCUCUUCUCGUCAAUAGAGAUGAUUCAUAUGUUGAAAUGUAUAUCAAGAUAUUGUUUAUUUCACUUUUCUUUCAUCCUGGUUCCAUCAAUCGUCCAAUCAUCAAGCCCUUUUGAUAAGUUGAUUGAGGUGUGUUAGGCUGGCACAAAACCCUGCACACCCUGUGUGUUUCCAGGACUGGGAUUGAAGGACACUGAUGUGUUUAACUUUGUGUUUGUCAGAAUCAGACUGGGGAUGAAUUUUAAUUUAGUUUCUCAGAUUUUU